rnacentral:lncRNA from 1 species
GAACAUGAUGCCCUGGGGCUCCUUUCACGAAGCAACCUAUACUAAGGUUAACCUUAACUCCCAUUCUGUCACAUUGCACUAAGGUUUCCUUAGUGACGUACCAUAACCUUUGUCCUUUGUGAAAGGAGGCCCU